rnacentral:rRNA from 1 species
GGAGUUAGCCGGUGCUUCUUCUGUGAGUGAUGUCCUUCCUGCCGGCUAUUAACCCGCAGGCCUUCUUCCUCACUGAAAGUGCUUUACAACCCGAAGGCCUUCUUCACACACGCGGCAUGGCUGGAUCAGGGUUGCCCCCAUUGUCCAAUAUUCCCCACUGCUGCCUCCCGUAGGAGUCUGGGCCGUGUCUCAGUCCCAGUGUGGCUGAUCAUCCUCUCAGACCAGCUACGGAUCGUCGCCUUGGUGAGCCGUUACCUCACCAACCAGCUAAUCCGACAUAGGCUCAUCCGAUAGCGCGAGGCCCGAAGGUCCCCCGCUUUCCCCCGUAGGGCGUAUGCGGUAUUAGCCUGGGUUUCCCCAGGUUAUCCCCCACUACCGGGCAGAUUCCUAUGCAUUACUCACCCGUCCGCCGCUCGCCACCAGGGAGCAAGCUCCCCGUGCUGCCGCUCGACUUGCAUGUGUUAGGUCGUCGCCGCCGACGCGUUCUACUACUGAGCACUGAUACAACUACUGA